rnacentral:tRNA from 1 species
ACCGCGAAAGCUCACCUGGUAGAGCAUCUGCCCGGCAAGCGGAGUGUCGCCGGUUCGGCUCCGGCUCUCGGCG